CUGCAAGCCUCGCAUUUGCAGCUGCUGAGGACAGAUGGGAAAGAGUGAUCAGGUGCUUUGAGGAGGGACUGACGCUGCUUGGGGAAAGUGGUGAAUGUGCCAGAAGACUACAGUGUGCUGCUUCCAGGGAGUCUGAAGGGAGAUGGCCCGUUGGAGAGUCACUGAAGGCUGGCGGGUUGCAGUGCUGUGUUGGGAAUGACUGCAAGAAAAGAAAGACAAAACAAACACAGGUCAUUCAUUUAAAAUAUCUUUGCACAUUCUAAUCAGGCCUAUGGUCAAAAAAACAAUCAAUCUUAGAAGAAAUACAGGAGUGAUUAAACAACUGUUCUUUGCUGAUAAAUAGAAUCAUCCACCAAAAUAAAACACUCUACCAGUGCUGAGCAAUACUCACGGCACUAAACGCAUUUGACUGACUAACUGAAAGGAAGCGCAGCAUUCAAGAGCCGGACCAUGGAGCCAGACUGCUGCUGCUAAGUCGUCCCUGGGAUUCUCCAGGCAAGAACACUGGAGUGGGUUGCCAUUUCCUUCUCCAAUGCAUGAAAGUGACAAGUGAAAGGGAAGUCGCUCAGUCAUGUCUGACUCUUCGUGACCCCAUGGACUGCAGCCUACCAGGCUCCUCCGUCCAUGGGAGUUUCCAGGCAAGAGUACUGGAGUGGGGUGCCAUUGUCUUCUCCACCUAGCCAGACUGAGCUUCUUAAAGUUCUCUGUAAUAGUAUGUUCCUCAUAGGGUAGUUAUAAACAUACUUUUUAGAACAGUGCCUGUUACAUGGUAAAAGCUACAUAAAAGUAUUAAAUAAACCAAUAUGAUUUAGCAGAAUGUCUACUUUGAGAUGUUUCAUAC